GGCUAAAGGGGACCUUAACAAAACACUAGAAAUGCUAUCCUCAGCAAAGGAUAGUGUUAAUAAAUAGAAGGAUAAGUCCAUCAUCCAUGUUAUCAUUCUUUCCAGGCGGCUAAUCCA